GUGACAGUAGUGACGUUCAAAGCAUGCAAAAAUGUUUUGUGAGUAAAUUUCGAGAAACCGGCGAAAAUACUUUGUUUACAAGGUUGCACGAUUUUCACCGUUUUUGUAACUGCACAUUUGCUUUGACGUACCCUAAGGUAGGCUAAGGUACCCUAAGGUAGGCUAAGGUAGUCUAAGGUAGGCUAAUGUAGGCUAAGGUAGGCUAAGGUGACUCUAAGGUACCCUAAGGUAGUCUAAGGUACCCUAAGGUAGUCUAAGGUAGUCUAAGGUACCCUAAGGUAGGCUAAGGUAGGCUAAGGUAGUCUAAGGUACUCUAAGGUACGCUAAGGUAGUCUAAGGUACCCUAAAGUAGGCUAAGGUAGGCUAAGGUAGUCUAAGGUAGUCUAAGGUACCUUAAGGUAGUCUAAGGUACCCUAAGGUAGUUUAAGGUAGGCUAAGGUAGUCUAAGCUCCUCUAAGGUAG